rnacentral:lncRNA from 1 species
AUGUUCUCCAGAUCAAGCCAUUAUGGAGAAAUGUGUUUUUUUCUGAUCAUAAUAAUUAGUGAUGAAAAGAUAACUGAAAUCCCUGGGAUUUUGGAGGACAGCUUCUGUCAGCACAGUCUUCUCUUUGUUCAACUGUACAGAGGCACCCAGAAGCAGCAGGGAACAGCAAGAAAAACAAGAGGAGACAAAGCAGGAAGGCUGCACACCAUGACCUGGGGACUCUCAUGGCAGCACGCAUGCUGGGAAGGUGAGACCAGCCGUAGGGAUCAGGGAGACCUGAGGUCACACAUUGCUGGAAAGGAAGGGCUGGAGAGGAGCUGUACCUACAGCAGGUUUUUUGGAUUCAAUUGGGAGCACUGAAGGACAGAUGUAUUCUCAUAUGUAAGGAAGGCACGGAAUUAACCUCACACUGUACAGAGCAGGUACACCUCUCCAUGCUCUCCAAGAGACCUGGCUAUCACUUUCAUGAGCUUAUGUCUUAUUUAGCUCUGGUUUGCAAUACCAGCAUUUCAAUAGAAAGAGAGUUUCUCAUUUUGUUUAAUGUUUUACAUCCUGAAUAUGGGUAAAGAACUCAAAAUGGAAAGGGAAAAAGCAAAUAAAAUAAAAAUAAUCCAGGCGGGGUGGAAAAAA